CGAAUAAAUGUGCGGGCGAGCGUAUUAUGUGGAGGAAGAAAACGUGCUCCAUAGCACGUUUUUCUCCGUUGAAGGAAAUCAUUUCUGAAAAAUUUGCUGUCGAAAGGUUCAGUUACGAGGCUUUCAGCGUUGAAGGGUCGUCGCGUUACGGCGAUCCCAAGGAAGGCUACAAAUCUUGCGCAGACCGUAGCUUCGCCUCGUGUGCGCCGUUGCUAUAGCUCGCGAUACGGGCAGAAGCUGGCGGGGCGAAGGUGCAGCUGGAAUGGCUGUAGCCGUCUUCCUAGCAGUGGCCGUAGGCGCUAUAGAUAACGUUCUGGCUAAUCAGAAGCAUUUUGACAUCACCACUGGCCUUCCGAAGAACGCAACGUGCAAGAGCUUUAUCCACGCCAACGAGGCCUGCCGAAAAGCUGUGGAACAGCUGGACGUGCACAGACAAAGCGUGAACGGCACCAAAAUACCGAUGAAACACCGCAAGUUCGCCCGAGUAUUGAAAAUAUGCUACAGGAAGAAACUGGCGAAGGAUGAUCUUCACCGCGUAUGCCACAGCGAGCGAACUGUGAAAAAAGUCCUUCAAUGUUACAAGAAAGCCUCAACUAAGGCUACGCCAAAAAAAUCCCGGAAAGCCACGAAAGAAAUCUUCAGAGAAUACCGGAAAUGCUUCCUGGAGAAGUUCACGCCCGAACCCGACCCGAGCGACGAAGAAAUCACGUUUCCCAGGGCCCCCAUUUUGCGCGACUGAAGCGCAAUUGGUCCGGUUUUAUCAUUUAUUUUUUAACCGCAUCGCACGUGAAAUAAACCAUAACUGCCCAACAAGCGCGAGGCGGCUUUGUGGUAAACGGUUUCCAGCAGGUGCGUAUAGGCUCUCCAAUAUUGUACACCAGAACGCGCGAGCAUCGACCGCACGGCAUGCAAGUCUUAUAAAGGCGAGAUCGGGGACACUGUGUGCAAAAGCGCGAAGACUGUUCAGGGCAUUGCAGGGUGAAAUGGCCAGAAUGGCGAUGGAUACCGUGCAACAACAACAACAAUAAAAAGUGCAGGAUGGGAUGCAAAACGGCCAACGUAUGCCUGAUGCUGCUCGGAGCUUUCACAGUCGCAGCAGGAGACUUAUACUGGAACCAAGGGCUCAGACUCCCCUCCGGGUGCUUUGGCCGCAACGCACACGAGAACAAAUGCGAAGAAAUGCUUCGGACGAGCCAUGUGUACAGGCUACUCCAAGAACUUUACGAACGGAGCCCCUCGGGGAGAGACAAUUUCCGGGCUAAAGUCAGGUCGUGCGCCGUGGAGGUGAUGACCUCCAUAGACUUCCACUACCUAUGCGACAGUAUGAAGUUUUCAAGAAAGGCCGUAAUAUGCAUCAAGAAAGUAGCGGCGUCCAUCGGGCCGCCAAGGUUUAAAGCACGCGUUCGAGCAUUUUACAACAAAUACUGGGAAUGCAUGCAAUCACUGUUCGAGCAGCACAAGAAAGUGUAGCUCUAUUUAGCGACGGGUUACAUUAAGAGAAGCGAUGGUGAUCUCAGCGCGGACGGAAAGAGACAAUAAAGUAUCCUCAACAACAGGAA